AACAAGAAAAGAAAGAAAGAAAGAAAGAAGAAAGAAAGAAAGAAAGAAAGAAAGAAAGAAAGAAAGAAACUGGCCUUCAGCUGGUAGCCUAACAUACCCAGAUGGUAACAAAUAAAAACAAACAAGAAUAUGGAAGGUGAUGAAACAGGUGGUGAUUCAGGUACAAAGACAGUGUUACGUGGGAUAGAGUGAUGAACAGAUGGGAACAGGUGGUUGUAAAAGUGACAGGUGGGAACAGGUGGUUGUGAUGGUACAGAUGGGAACAGGUGGUUGUGAUGGUGACAGAUGGGAACAGGUGGUUGUGAUGGUGACAGAUGGGAACAGGUGGUUGUGAUGGUGACAGGUGGGAACAGGUGGUUGUGAUGGUGACAGAUGGGAACAGGUGGUUGUGAUGGUGACAGAUGGGAACAGGUGGUUGUGAUGGUGACAGAUGGGAACAGGUGGUUGUGAUGGUGAC